rnacentral:rRNA from 1 species
UACGAAGGGUGCAAGCGUUACUCGGAAUUACUGGGCGUAAAGCGUGCGUUAGGUGGUUUGUUAAGUCUGUUGUGAAAGCCCCGGGCUCAACCUGGGAAUGGCAAUGGAUACUGGCAAGCUAGAGUGCGGUAGAGGGUAGUGGAAUUCCCGGUGUAGCGGUGAAAUGCGUAGAGAUCGGGAGGAACACCAGUGGCGAAGGCGGCUACCUGGCCAGCACUGACACUGAGGCACGAAAGCGUGGGGAGCAAACAGG